GAGCAGAAGAUGAAGGAUUCAAUGGUAUCACUCGCAGGAAAAAUUAGGGUUUCAUUCCAUUUUCGCCUAUUUAAUAUGCGAGCCACCCAUUCAAUACAUCGUUCGCUACUUUCUGUGUUCUUCUACUCUGUAAGUAUUUGCAUGAUUUCGUCGAAUUUCAUCUUUUCUUUUCAACUUUUAUUUGAUUUGCUUUUUGCGUUCUGCUUUUGGGUUUGGCCGGUGAUGCAUGAUGAAUUUGUCCGUACCAUCCGAGAUUUUCUCUGACGAAUGCUCAUUCUUGAAUCUGAGGCCUUUGCUCUUUCAACGUCUAUGAAUUAUGAUUGUUUUCUUUUUAGUUUUUCUCACUAGUGAUUGUGAAUGAAAAAAAGGCAAUAAAUUAGAGUCUCUGAGUUGCUUAUUCCAUGGCGAUAUCAGCGCUGUACGUUGCCGAUAAGAAUUUUGUGCUGAGAGAUUGGCUUGGGUCUCUGUAGGCUCAUGCACUCAGAUGUUCAUACACUUUUUCUGAUUUUUGUUUUAUUUUUUUUGAGUACCUUAUUGGUCCUUAGAUGCUUGUUGAAAUGUGUGGUCUGUUAGAGACUCUUUGUUUUUUUGUUUUUUUUUUUAUGUAAUUAUACUAUUUCACCCAUUUUAAAGCAAUUUUUUUUGUCAAGACUGAAGUGGAGUGAGAUUCAAUUAGAUUUUCUUUUUGAUUAUACUUUUUAUUAGUUAGAUGAUGAUCUCAAGUGAGAUUUAAUUAGAUUUUGUUUAUAACUCACUGUUUUAAAGCACAUUCAGAAUUACUUAAGAGUUGCGGCGCAAUGAACAAAAAACAAUUUUUGUAUCACAGAAAACCUCUGUUUGUUAGCCAAUUGAAAAAAAUCAAUUGAGUGUGGUGGCUAUCAAUUUGUGACCCAAAAAUUCUUGAGAUAAAAGUUCAGACAUUUCACCGAAACACUGUUUUAAUAAGUAAUUUGCAGACUUUAUAUAAAAAAUCUAAGUUUUUGGUAAGAUUUAAUACAAAAUGUUAUGUUUUCGAAGAGAUAAAGAUCAGAAGAUUUAGACCAAAACGCUGUUUAAUAAUAAAGUACAUUCUAUACUUCAUAAAAAAAAUAGUUUUUGGUAAGAUUUUAUUCCGAAAGUAAAGUUCUUGAAACAUUGAACAUCAAUUUUUUUGAAGCAAUGAAGUUUAUGUAAGAUAUCCUUUGUAACGAAAGAAGAUAAAAUGAUUAUUUUCUUUGUUCGUCAUUGACAAAUUUCACAAGGCUGGAUUUUAUUGUAGGGAAUAUGUGACUAUGACGUCACGAAACAGUUGAACACAUUACUGGAAACAAUUUCAUCAGUAAAUUUUUUUACUGGAAUUUGGAUUUCACUCAAUAAUUUUGAAAUUUGCGUUUUUUUAUAGGCUUUGAUAAAGGUAUUCCUUAUUAUCUUUAUGUUUUGUUUGGAUUAGGAUACAAAAAUUGGAUUAGAGAUAAAAAAAAGAGUAAAUUUGAGAUGAUUUAAAGAAAAAAUAUAAAAGAAGUUAAAAUGUAAUUUUGGACAACUUUGGAUGGAAGUGAUGAACACAUAAACUAGAGUAUUUUAAUAUAUUUUAAAUAGUGUAAAUUAGAAGAUUAUAAAUUUAUUUUUUAUGUAAAUAAAUAAAAAAAUGAAAUAUUAAUUAGUUUAAACGACAUUUAAGUUAAUUAAAAUAAUUAGUAUUAUAUUAUAUUAUGUUAUAUAUAAUCAUAAAGUAUACUUUUAUCUAUAUGUUUAAAAAAAAUUAAUAAAAUAAUUAUUAAUUUCGUAUAUAAUUUUAAUAAUUAAAAUAAUUGUAAGUUUUAAUUAUAACUUUAAAAAUAAUAUAAAAUUUAAAUGAAUUAAAAAAUAGAAUAUAAAAAAAUUACUAUCUAUACAUUCAUAAAUUUAUUUAUUAACAUUGUAAAAUGUUAAAAAAAUCUUCUCUAUAUUUAUGUUUUUAAAUUACCACAACAAUUUGUAUAAUUCUUUUAAUAACAAUAUUUUAAAAUAACAUAUUUAGAUUUAUAAUUUCAAUCUAUAAAUUCAAUUCAAUUCAUGUCAAAAAAUAACAUAUUCAAAUUUCAUGAAAUUUUUAUAUUAACAAUAUAUAAUAUUAGACAAUUAAUUUUCCUAAACAUUCACAUCUAAAAUUAAAAACUAAUUAACAACUAUUUUAAAAUGAUUUAAACAAAUUAAAUUCAAAAUAAAAUUAAACAUCCAAACACAAUUUAAAAAAAAAAACACAUACCUCAAGAGAGUAGAACAAACCACAACACAAUGCAAGUCUAAGAUUUAUCUAAUUGUGUCUGAAAAAAAAAAUCAUUCAAAAAUUAGUUCAAAAAACAUAAAAUUAUAAAUCUAGAAAAUUAGAACCAUAAUCGAUUAUCACCCCAGUGUAAAAUAGAUUAUCCAAAUGUUUAUAACACAUAAUCGAUUAUGCUUUCAGUGCAAAAACGACCAUGAUUUUUUUUGUUCACAUAAUCGAUUAUGGCAUACGUUAUUUUCAGUGAUAAUCGAUUAAGAAUGAAACUAAACUCACACACAGCUCACCUGAGGUCACAAACGAAAAACCAAGCGCACUCACGACCCUCUCCAAGUGCUCUAGGUAUGUGCUUU
rnacentral:lncRNA from 1 species